GCCAUGCCUCCGAGCAAGCUACAGAGCUCUGAACCGAUGGAGAGCUGACACCCAGCAGCCCCUGUAAAACAGAGGAAUAUAUUAAACAGUUGUAAACUGGAGGACAAGAAAUGAGUAAGAGCCUCGCUGUGAAGAAAGGCUCCUCAAAGUGUCUUGUGAUUGCAGUGUGGACUGAAUGCAAAGUCUCUUUGAGUGAUGAACCUGUUACCAAUGAGGACUCGAGAGGCCAAGUUAGGACACCGAAAGACCCUGUCAAAGGCCAGAUCAACAAAUGCAAUGAAUGGACUCUGCCAAGAGGACUCCGGAUUGAUGUAUCAGUGAAGCUUUUUGGCAAGGACGGUGAAGUACAUCAUGGAAUGUCUCAGGGACACAGAAGGUUUAAGUACAGGGAAGAUGAACCAAUGGCUCUCAUGAUGCAGAGUAUUCCCACGUAA
rnacentral:lncRNA from 1 species